rnacentral:rRNA from 1 species
AGCUCGUGUCGUGAGAUGUUGGGUUAAGUCCCGCAACGAGCGCAACCCCUAUCUUAUGUUGCCAGCACGUAAUGGUGGGAACUCAUGAGAGACUGCCGCAGACAAUGCGGAGGAAGGCGGGGAUGACGUCAAAUCAUCAUGCCCCUUAUGACCUGGGCUACACACGUCGACGCGAGGCCAAGCGAAUCCCAUAAAACUGUUCUCAGUUCGGAUUGGAGUCUGCAACUCGACUCCAUGAAGCUGGAAUCGCUAGUAAUCGUAGAUCAGCAUGCUACGGUGAAUACGUUCCCGGGUCUUGUACGUCGACGCGGCCG